rnacentral:lncRNA from 1 species
UUUGGAACUCCACAAAAGUCACACUACCAGCAACCUUAUAGAUUUGAAACGAGGCGGAACAAAUCUGCAAUAGAAUGAAAGAGGAGAGAAACUGGAACACAUAAAAUAGGGUUUAAUAUAACUGGUGGUAUAAUAAACGGAGAAGAGAGGAAAAAAAAAAAAAAAGAAGAGAAGGGGGGAGGCUGCAGAAGACCGAGAAAGGUAAAGGGGGAUCUUUCCCUAGACUUCUGAUACCAUG